rfam:Schistosoma mansoni, Puerto Rico, WGS project CABG01000000 data, contig: 0122
AGCUUUCUGAAUCCGUGUUAAGAUUUCGUCAGACACCAACGCAUUAGGACUGGUCAGACUUACAAGACAAGUGAAGUU